AGCAAGACAGAAGCUUGAGUCCUACAGACUCAACUCGUUCUAUUAUCUGUUAUCUACAGGGGAUAAUAGAACGAGUUGAGUCUGUAGGACUCAAGCUUCUGUCUUGCUU